GUGAAUAGAGGCAGUCGGAGAGCGGCGCUGGGCGAGCGCGGCGCGGCGGCCCCGCGAGUGCUGCAGUGAGGGAGGCGAGGAGGGGGGAGAGAGGGAGAGAGAGAGAGAGAGAGAGCGAGCGCGGCUCCAACUGUUGAAUUUUCACUGAAUUCUCCACUUACCUGCGGGCGGCUGGUGAAAUGGAUCUGGUUUAUCGGGGAUCGGCGUUCGCUCCGCGUGCUGCCUGGCUAAGACUGGCGACCGUCUGUUUGCGAGGGGCCACCCAUCAAUGAGGCAGAGAAGAAUAAUUGUUUUUUCUUCUUUUGCGUUUGAAAGCCUCCCUGCCACACGUUGCAGAAUUAACUGUGUACUUUGGGUCCGGACUCAAAUAAAGGAGAAAAAACAGUGCAGAACUGAGACUCGGAACUAGAUCUGUGAGCUAUGUAUUGGAAACCUAUGUUUUUAUUGCCUUUUUUUUUUUUUUUUUCUUUUUUUGUGAAAGAUCUCUGAUUUAUUUCACACAUAACACUGAGGAAAGGUGGUUAAAAACACUCAGCAAAGCAGGAGACAGACGCGCCUCUGUGCCAGUGAGUGGAUAACAGCCUUGUUUUCCUGAUCCUCAGUCUCCCGGAGAAAGAGGAAACGGUGACCCAGGGUGUACGAGACAGAGAGGGGGGAAAUACCGACAGCAGCGAGAUGCAGCUCUCCGCCGCAAGCAAUGCAAGAUUAGAUCUCUAAAUGCAGCAAAA